rnacentral:pre_miRNA from 1 species
AUACUACUCCCUCCGUUCGGAAUUACUUGUCUCGGAAAUGGAUGUAUCUAGAACUAAAAUACAUCUAGAUAUAUCCAUUUCUACGACAAGUAAUUCCGAACGGAGGGAGUAGUAA